GGGUGCAAGCGUUGUUCGGAAUUAUUGGGCGUAAAGCGCGUGUAGGCGGUUUCUUAAGUCAGGAGUGAAAGGCUACGGCUUAACCGUAGUAAGCUCUUGAAACUGGGAAACUUGAGUGCAGGAGAGGAAAGUGGAAUUCCUAGUGUAGCGGUGAAAUCCGUAGAUAUUAGGAGGAACACCGGUGGCGAAGGCGGCUACCUGGACCGAUACUGACGCUGAGACGCGAAAGCGUGGGGAGC
rnacentral:rRNA from 1 species